ACGCCGCGUGAGUGAUGAAGGUCUUUCGGAGUCGUAAAACUCUGUUGUUAGGGAAGAACAAGUGCUAUAUUGACUAGGCUGUACCUUGACCGUACCCUAUCCAAAAGCCACCGGUAACUACCUGGCCACCACCCCCGUAAUACCUUAGUUGCAAGCGUUUUUCCGAAUUAUUGGGCGUUAAGCGCGCGCAAGGGGUCUUUUAGUUUGAUGUUAAAACCCCCCGGUCAACCCUGGAAGGGCAUUGGAAAAUGGGGGAAUUGAAUGGCAAAAAAGAAAAUGGAAUUUCCAGUGUUACGGUUAAAUGGCUAAAAAUUUGGAAGAACCCCCAUGGCCAAAGGCACCUUUUUGUCUGUAACUGACCCUUAAGGCCCAAAACCUGGGGAGCAAACCGGAUUAAAUUCCCCGGUUGUCCACCCCCUAAACCAUUAAUGGUAAAUGGUAAGGGGUUUCCCCCCCUUAAUG
rnacentral:rRNA from 1 species